rnacentral:rRNA from 1 species
UAGAUACCCUGGUAGUCCACGCCCUAAACGAUGCACACUAGUUGUUGCUAUGCUCGACAUAGCAGUAAUGCAGUUAACACAGUAAGUGUGCCGCCUGGGGAGUACGGUCGCAAGAUUAAAACUCAAAGGAAUAGACGGGGACCCGCACAAGCGGUGGAGCAUGUGGUUUAAUUCGACGAUACGCGAAGAACCUUACCUGGCCUUGACAUAGAUAGAACUUUCCAGAGACGGAUUGGUGCUAGUUUACUAGAGCUAUCAUACAGGUGCUGCACGGCUGUCGUCAGCUCGUGUCGUGAGAUGUUGGGUUAAGUCCCGCAACGAGCGCAACCCUCGUGUUUAGUUACUAACAGUUCGGCUGAGGACUCUAAACAGACUGCCUGGGUAACCAGGAGGAAGGUGAGGACGACGUCAAGUCAUCAUGGCCCUUACGGCCAGGGCUACACACGUGCUACAAUGGGGUAUACAAAGAGCAGCAAUACGGUGACGUGGAGCAAAUCUCAUAAAAUAUCUCCCAGUUCGGAUUGAAGUCUGCAACUCGACUUCAUGAAGUUGGAAUCGCUAGUAAUCGUAGAUCAGCAAUGCUACGGUGAAUACGUUCCCAGGUCUUGUACUCACCGCCCGUCACACCAUGGGAAUUGAAUUCAUUCGAAGCGGGGAUGCUAAAAUAGCUACCUUCCACAGUGGAUUUAGUAACUAGGGUGAAGUCGUAACAAGGUA